GCUUCAUUUAAAGCAAGCGUUAGAGUCGGGUGGUGUGACUCACAUUACAACAACAACAUUACGGGCAACCAAGUAGUUCUGAAUGCUACAACGUGGAAAAAUGAGUUUUUCCUUUGCAGUUAGCUCGAUCAUGUUGUUAUCUGGAGGAUUUGUAGACUACUGGGGAUUUAGCUGUGACUCUAUCGCAGAGCAGGUUGGUUUUAUUCAGUCCACCUCUUCAGCAGUAAUGGUGCUUCUGAAGUAGCAGCUGACACGUAGCAUCACCCUGAUACACAAGAAUAUGAAUUAUUCCACAGUGUGAAGGGCGUCUGCUCUGUCAUCACACUGGCUCAACAACAAUGUGCUGUUUUUGAUCUGCAGCAACAUAUGCUCUCAUUGGUAAUCUGAGUACUCUAACAUGCUACUUAACACGCCGUGCUGCUUAACAGCUCUGUGGGUUGCUCUUAAAGUUUGCCUCAUUCAUAUUCCAAACUAUAGAAAAGAUCCGACGGACCUUGAGGGCAGAAUGUUCCAGUAAAAAUAUAUUAAAGCAAGCGGAAGAGCAGACAUGAAAAAGAGCCUGUCACAUUCAGACUUGUGCUCUGUUGCAAAACUUGAUAAUGAGAUUGGAACUGGGACCAACAGAAGAAGAAAAACGAAGGGAUCGGGGACGAUCACUCUUUCAUGUCUGACGUGCAUCCAUUCCUCAGCGGCGGCUGCCUCCAAUCUCCUCGCCUCCCCCUGGUGAACAAUGAAGCUCCGUCCGUGACAGAUCCACUGACAGAUAGGCUUCCAGGAGGAGCUCCAUCUCUGUUUAUCACCUGACACUCGCGCCUGUAGUUCACACACAGGGCAUGUCUUCCCGUCUUCUACUCCUCAGCACCCAUUCAUGACUCUGUCAGCCUCGAGCUGUAUCCAUCACACAGCUGCACCUGACAGGAUAAUGGAGAUCUACAGUGCUUCAGCUCUGGCUGUGACGAAGGCAUCCGCGGCCAAAAGCGAUGGGAGCCAACUGCACAGCUUCAUAAAGUGCACGCUGUACUGUACACCAAUGUGGAAAUCAUCUGGAAAUACUUCAGUGCAGACUAACAACAACCAGAAAAACCUUCAUGCUCGACUUAUAGUGUCGCACACAGGUUUGCAGGCAAAUGUAGGUGGUGCUCAGAGACCCAAGCAGCAGUGACCUCCAGCAGCGUGGUGACCACAGAGUGAGAAACUAGCAGCAGUACAAAGCGGGCAGAUCCCAAAUUAAAUUUACCUGAACUGUGAGCUGAGCUGUCACAGCAUAGAGUAACUUUGACAUAUGACAGGUUCAGCCGCAAAGCGAAGCACGGUGAACAAAACGCUGCUUUAAGGAAAACAGUUGAGAUCACAACGCGGCAAAGAUGAAUGCAAUCAUGGGCAAUGAACUUUCAGCCUUUGGAGACAAACAGCUCUGGAAAUAAAUGGACAAAUGGAAAUAAAAAGGCAGCAAGACAGUGUGCCAUUGAACAGGGUCAAGUUGGCAUUUUACAUUCAGUCUGGCAUCUAGAACAGAACAGAAGUCCCUCAUCAGAUAGCAACGUAGUUGCUGCAGGACGGCAACUUAACUGCACGUUAAUAUAAGCAACCUUUGUUUUUAUGUAACAACGUAACCAGAAUGCCACCAGCUGAGUGAAGUACCUGCUGCGUAGAGACACAUCAGUGCAGACCGACUCAGACUGUUUAUGAAUCAGUCUGGGAUUAUUUGCAAUCCUUCACCGAUCUUCAGUCGCUUUUCUAUUUUUGCUUUAGUGUGUUGGAGCUGUUAGGAGUUCUUUUGUUCUUUUUGUUGAAUAUGAUUUUGUGACUGUUUGCAACCACCAAAGACAAAAUUCAGCAUUUAAGAAGCGCAAGAAAGUAGAGCUGGGAGGUGUGUUGCUUUAUAACAGAGAUACAGAUUCCUGCUUGGCUGAUGUAGUUUGGUUGCAUCCGUCCAUUUUCUACCACUUAACGGGGUUAUGGGCUCACGGAGGCAGCCCUUUCCAUCUGCUGCUUCAGCCCCUCUGUCGGAUGUAGAGGACUUGCCAGUCUAAUAAUAAACUCUAGGUUUACUCUAGGUUAGCACUACUUCCCUUUAUGUAAGGCUUUGACUUUGAGAUGCUUAAAUCGUGACUGGGUAACACCAAAGUCCUUCUCGAAGUCUUUGCCCAGUUGUUUGGAUAAAAUAAAUAAUUAUUUAAAUAAAUGUAAUUUCAGUGGAUUCAGAUCAGCAUUAAAACCGCAUAUAAAGAGUCAUAGGUCAAGUUUAAUAAAAACCACCUAAAGGUUAUCUCCGCCCGGAUGCGUGCGGCUGUGAAAUUCUCCCGUGGAUUUUAAUUUCAGAUUAUUAGUGUCUGAGGCUCCACACCUCAGAGUGUUUGGAACAAAUGGAAAAUGAGGACAAGUACAGAUUUCUACUGCUUUCUGGUGAUGGUAACAUGUGAGGUAAAUGGAGCUUUUAUUUGGUUUGAAGCUGAAGUAUGUAAAAGUCCCAGUCAGCCUGAUUGAACAUCAGAUGGUCUGGAAGUAUUUCCAGUGGGGAAAUAGUUUUGGUUUACAAGGAUUUUCUGCACCUUUACUGUGUAAAAACAGCUUUUUUUGUCUGUGGACUUCAUAACAUUCCUACAUUGUCUCACAUUGUUUUUGUUUACAUCUCAGAAUAAAGAUCCAGGUUAUGUUUAUGGUUAAACUGAGCAUCUGUCUGUCAAAGGAAGAACGGACAGGUCAGCUGACCCAGCAAAGACAUCCACACUUUUAGUCCAAAGCACAGUUAAAACGUCCUACAGUAUAUGCAGCGUGUACAGGAUGAUUACACGAGACUGUGGGAAAGUAUUUUCUUCCGGGUUUUAAUUGUUGCUGUUGUUCUCAGCCUGUAGAAGAAUUAACAGUUGUGGUCAAUUUACAUGCAAACGCAGUUUGAGGGUGUUGGGAGGGUUCAGCGGGUUGAGCAGUGGUUCCAAAGGCGCCGCAGCUUUUUCAUCAACCGCUGUAAUGCAGUUUAAAUUGAAAGGUAAUGUGCUGCGACUCGAGUGUUUUUAAGGCACUGCAGCGUCAGUCCAGCACUGCUGAAGGUUACAGGGGUGACGGCGUCUGUGGCGUCAGCAGGACGCGCCCGUCUUUAACAAGAUCCGUCGCCAAUAAUCGAAUUGACUGCAAAUAUCGGCGGUGGGUCCCACUGGUGUGACGCCCGCCAGCUUCGGUCUGGGUUGAGGGAGGAGCGGUGAUGUUUAGAAGCCAUUUACAUGUUUGCAAUGACCUGAAGUGAAGCGAAUGAUACGAACACGUGAACCCUGAAAAGAUGUUUGAUACUUCACCUGAAGCCAGACUCAACGUGUGUGUUUGUGCGAGCAGAUCAGUUAUGAAACGUGCCUUUUUUUAAAGAACAGCCCUAAACUUCCUUCUUAUCAUCUGAAGAGCAGCGUGCCCGACAUCAUCAGCAUUAAUCCUUUUCUUUAAAAAUGACAAUCUGUGUUUGCCAAAAAGAAACUUGCAUGUUUUCCUUUUCUUUGUGUUUCAUUUCUUUGUUUUUCUUCCAUAAGUUUACAUCUUGUGUUUGUUUACAGAGAUCUGGCUGUAAUGUUUCUGCUUUAAUUGAUAUUCUGUUUCUUUUCUUUUUCUGUUUUUUUUUAAUUAUUUGGUUUUUAUGACUCACAAAAAAGUUAAAUAAAUGAAAUAAAUGAUUUAUAUUCAUCUGAAGUGCAUCAGCCUUGAAGGAAAACUCUGCUUUCCUAACCCUCG
ensembl:lncRNA